rnacentral:rRNA from 1 species
CCUACGGGAGGCUGCAGUAGGGAAUAUUGCUCAAUGGGGGAAACCCUGAAGCAGCAACGCCGCGUGGAGGAUGUAGGUUUUCGGAUUGUAAACUCCUUUUGUUAGAGAAGAUAAUUACGGUAUCUAACGAAUAAGCACCGGCUAACUCCGUGCCAGCAGCCGCGGUAAUACGGAGGGUGCAAGCGUUACUCGGAAUCACUGGGGGUAUCGAGCGCGUAGGCGGGAUAGCAAGUCAGAUGUGAAAGCCUAUGGCUUAACGAUAGAACUGCAUUUGAAACUGUUAUUCUGGAGUAUGGAAGAGGUAGGUGGAAUUCUUGGUGUAGGGGUAAAAUCCGUAGAGAUCAAGAGGAAUACUCAUUGCGAAGGCGACCUGCUAGAACAUGACUGACGCUGAUGCGCGAAAGCGUGGGGAGCAAACAGGAUUAGAUACCCCUGUAGUC